rnacentral:rRNA from 1 species
AAGUCGAACGGCAGCGCGGGAGCAAUCCUGGCGGCGAGUGGCGAACGGGUGAGUAAUACAUCGGAACGUGCCCAAUCGUGGGGGAUAACGCAGCGAAAGCUGUGCUAAUACCGCAUACGAUCUACGGAUGAAAGCAGGGGAUCGCAAGACCUUGCGCGAAUGGAGCGGCCGAUGGCAGAUUAGGUAGUUGGUGAGGUAAAGGCUCACCAAGCCUUCGAUCUGUAGCUGGUCUGAGAGGACGACCAGCCACACUGGGACUGAGACACGGCCCAGACUCCUACGGGAGGCAGCAGUGGGGAAUUUUGGACAAUGGGCGAAAGCCUGAUCCAGCCAUGCCGCGUGCAGGAUGAAGGCCUUCGGGUUGUAAACUGCUUUUGUACGGAACGAAACGGUCUUUUCUAAUACAGAAGGCUAAUGACGGUACCGUAAGAAUAAGCACCGGCUAACUACGUGCCAGCAGCCGCGGUAAUACGUAGGGUGCAAGCGUUAAUCGGAAUUACUGGGCGUAAAGCGUGCGCAGGCGGUUAUGUAAGACAGUUGUGAAAUCCCCGGGCUCAACCUGGGAACUGCAUCUGUGACUGCAUAGCUAGAGUACGGUAGAGGGGGAUGGAAUUCCGCGUGUAGCAGUGAAAUGCGUAGAUAUGCGGAGGAACACCGAUGGCGAAGGC